rnacentral:rRNA from 1 species
GACGAACGCUGGCGGCGUGCUUAACACAUGCAAGUCGAACGGAAAGGCCCUGCUUUUGUGGGGUGCUCGAGUGGCGAACGGGUGAGUAACACGUGAGUAACCUGCCCUUGACUUUGGGAUAACUUCAGGAAACUGGGGCUAAUACCGGCUAGGAGCUCCUGCUGCAUGGUGGGGGUUGGAAAGUUUCGGCGGUUGGGGAUGGACUCGCGGCUUAUCAGCUUGUGGGUGGGGUAGUGGCUUACCAAGGCCUUGACGGGUAGCCGGCCUGAGAGGGUGACCGGCCACAUUUCGACUUCGUUACGGCCCAGACCCCUUCGGGCCGCAGCAGUGCGGAUUAUUGCCCAGUGCGCCGCAGCCUGACCCAGCAACGCCGCGUGCGGGAUGUCGUCCUCCGGCUUGUACUCCGCUUGCGGGUGUGUCGGGCCGUGGGUGUCGCUAAUGGGUACGGAAGCGCUGCCUAUGUUCUUU